UACGAAGGGGGCUAGCGUUGUUCGGAAUUACUGGGCGUAAAGGGCGCGUAGGCGGUGUGUCAAGUCAGGCGUGAAAGCCCCGGGCUCAACCUGGGAACCGCGCUUGAGACUGGCACGCUAGAGUUCGGGAGAGGUGAGUGGAACUCCGAGUGUAGAGGUGAAAUUCGUAGAUAUUCGGAAGAACACCAGUGGCGAAGGCGGCUCACUGGUCCGGUACUGACGCUGAUGUGCGAAAGCGUGGGGAGCAAACAGG
rnacentral:rRNA from 1 species